rnacentral:ribozyme from 14 species
GAUGUAAGAAGGAAUAGGAAGAAUGUAAUAAGGGUUCCUCAUAAUUAAAUUCUGUUGUUUCUACUGUCUCUUUUUCUUUCUUUUUCUUCUUGU